GACAGAGGCCUCAAGCGUUAGGCGGAAUCACUGGGCUUAAAGCGUGUGUAGGCGGAUCGUUAAGUGUCUUGUGAAAUCCCACAGCUCACCUGUGGAACUGCUUGGCAUACUGGCGAUCUUGAGCCACUUAGGGGCAACCGGAACAAACGGUGGAGCGGUGAAAUGCGUAGAUAUCGUUUGGAACGCCAAUGGUGAAAACAGGUUGCUGGGAGUGUGCUGACGCUGAGACACGAAAGCCCAGGGGAGCAAACGGG
rnacentral:rRNA from 1 species